rnacentral:rRNA from 1 species
GACGAACGCUGGCGGCGUGCCUAAUACAUGCAAGUCGAGCGGAAUGAUGAAGAAGCUUGCUUCUUCUGAUUUUAGCGGCGGACGGGUGAGUAACACGUGGGCAACCUACCUUGUAGAUUGGGAUAACUCCGGGAAACCGGGGCUAAUACCGAAUAAUCCAUUUUGCUUCAUGGCGAGAUGUUGAAAGACGGUUUCGGCUGUCACUACAAGAUGGGCCCGCGGCGCAUUAGCUAGUUGGUAGGGUAAUGGCCUACCAAGGCGACGAUGCGUAGCCGACCUGAGAGGGUGAUCGGCCACACUGGGACUGAGACACGGCCCAGACUCCUACGGGAGGCAGCAGUCGGGAAUUUUGGGCAAUGGGGGAAACCCUGACCCAGCAACGCCGCGUGAGGGAUGAAGGCUUUCGGGUUGUAAACCUCUGUCGUCAGGGAAGAACGGGUGAGGUACUCCCUUACUCUGACGGUACCUGACAAGAAAGCCUCGGCUAACUACGUG